UGCUUAAUGUUUUAGAAAUGCGGUGAC
rnacentral:piRNA from 1 species